UAGGGUAUCUGGGAUGGUUGUUAGGGUGUUGCUAUGCGGUUGCUAGGGUACCCUGAGGUGUUGCUAAGGUGUUGCUAUGCGGUUGCUAGGGUAUCUGGGAUGGUUGUUAGGGUGUUGCUAUGCGG